CCGCCGGCCGAUCUGCCAGUAUCUAAUCAGAUAACAGGAACCCGUUGGAGUGGCAACGCUGAACUGAAUUCAAAUCGCAGCCGUAGCCUCCAGAAACAAUGA